rnacentral:lncRNA from 1 species
GACAAUGGAGGUGAGUACACUUCAAGGGAAUUUGAAGAGUACUGUUCAAGUCAUGGGAUCAGACAUGAAAAGACAGUUCCUGAAACCCCACAGCACAAUGGUAUAGGAGAGAGGAUGAAUCACACUAUUGUGGAGAAGGUGAGAAGCAUGCUCAGAAUGGCUAAACUACCUAAGUCAUUCUGGGGUGAAGUAGUUCAAACAACAUGUUACCUGAUCAAUAGGAGUCCAUCAGUUCCAUUGGCGUUUGACAUCCCAGAGAGAAUUUGGACCAAUAAGGAGGUGUCUUACUCGCAUCUGAAGGUGUUCGGUUGCAGAGCUUUUGCACAUGUACCAAAAGUGCAGAGAACAAAGCUAGAUGAUAAAUCUAUUCCCUGCAUAUUUAUCAGAUAUAGAGAUGAAGAGUUCGAGUACAGAUUGUGGGAUCCUAUAACGAAGAAGAUCAUUAGAAGCAGAGAUGUAGUCUUCCGAGAAAGUGAAGUUGGAAUUGCUGCUGAUAUGUCAGAAAAGGCGAAGAAUGGUAUAAUUCCUAACCUUUUUAUUAUUCCUUCUACUUCUAACAAUCCCACAAGUGCAGAAAGUACGACCGACGAGGUUGCCGAGCAGGGGAAGCAACCUGGUGAGGUUAUUGGGCAGGGAGAGCAACUUGAUGAAGGUGUCGAGGAAGUGGAGCACCCCACUCAGGAAGAAGAAAAGCUUCAACCUCUGAGGAGAUCGGAGAGGCCAAGGGUAGAGUCAUGCAGGUACCCUUCUACAACCUCAACCUCUGAGAAGAUCGUAGAGGCCAAGGGUAGAGUUAUGUAGGUACCCUUCCACAGAGAAUGUCCUCAUCAGUUAUGAGGGGGAGCCAGAAAGUCUUAAGGAGGUGCUGUCCCAUUCAGAAAAGAACCAGUGGAUGAAAACCAUGCAAGAAGAGAUGGAAUCUCUACAGAAAAAUGGCACGUACAAGCUGGUUGAAUUUCCAAAGGGUAAAAGACCACUCAAAUGUAAAUGAGUCUUUAAACUCAAGAAAGAUGGAAAUGGAAAGCUGGUCAGAUAUAAAGCUCGAUUGGUGGUUAAUGGCUUCGAACAGAAGAAAGGUAUUGAUUUUGACCAAAUUUUCUUACCUGUUGUCAACAUGACUUCUAUUCGAACAAUUUUGAGCUUAACAUCUAGCCUAGAUCUUGAAGUAGAGCAGUUGGAUGUGAAAACUGCAUUUCUUCAUGGAGAUUUGA